rnacentral:rRNA from 1 species
GACGAACGCUGGCGGCGUGCUUAACACAUGCAAGUCGAACGGAAAGGCCCUGCUCUUGUGGGGUGCUCGAGUGGCGAACGGGUGAGUAACACGUGAGUAACCUGCCCUUGACUUUGGGAUAACUUCAGGAAACUGGGGCUCAUACCGGAUAGGAGCUCCUGCUGCAUGGUGGGGGUUGGAAAGAUUCGGCGGUUGGGGAUGGACUCGCUGCUUAUCCGCUUGUUGGUGGGGUAGUGGCUUACCAAGGCUUUGACGGGUAGCCGGCCUGAGAGGGUGACCGGCCACAUGGGGACUGAGAUACGGCCCAGACUCCUACGGGAGGCAGCAGUGGGGAGUAUGGCACAGUGGGCGGAAGCCUGAUGCAGCAACGCCGCGUGCGGAAUGACGUCCUACGGGUUGUAAACCGCUUUCGCCUGUGACGAAGCGUGAGUGACGGUAAUGGGUAAAGAAGCACCGGCUAACUACGUG